AUUGAACGCUGGCGGCAGGCCUAACACAUGCAAGUCGAACGAGUGGCGGACGGGUGAGUAAUGUCUGGGAAACUGCCCGAUGGAGGGGGAUAACUACUGGAAACGGUAGCUAAUACCGCAUACCAUCGGAUGUGCACAGAUGGGAUUAGCUUGUAGGUGAGGUAACGGCUCACCUAGGCGACGAUCCCUAGCUGGUCUGAGAGGAUGACGAGACAGACUGGAACUGGUGCACGGUCCAGACUCCUACGGGAGGCAGCAGUGGGGAAUAUUGCACAAUGGGCGAGAGCUUGAUGCAGCCAUGCCGCGUGUAUGAAGAAGGCCUUCGGGUUUUAAAGUACUUUCAGCGGGGAGGCGUUACCCGCAGAAGAAGCACCGGCUAACUCCGUGCCAGCAGCCGCGGUAAUAC
rnacentral:rRNA from 1 species